rnacentral:rRNA from 1 species
UACGGGGGGGGCAAGCGUUGUUCGGAAUUACUGGGCGUAAAGGGCUCGUAGGUGGCCAACUAAGUCAGACGUGAAAUCCCUCGGCUUAACCGGGGAACUGCGUCUGAUACUGGAUGGCUUGAGUUCGGGAGAGGGAUGCGGAAUUCCAGGUGUAGCGGUGAAAUGCGUAGAUAUCUGGAGGAACACCGGUGGCGAAGGCGGCAUCCUGGACCGAUACUGACACUGAGGAGCGAAAGCUAGGGGGAGCAAACGGG